CCUACGGGAGGCUGCAGUGAGGAAUAUUGGUCAAUGGGCUUACGCCUGAACCAGCCAAGUCGCGUGAGGGAGGACUGCCCUAUGGGUUGUAAACCUCUUUUGCCAGGGAGCAACGCCGGCUACGUGUAGCCGGACUGAGAGUACCUGAAGAAAAAGCAUCGGCUAACUCCGUGCCAGCAGCCGCGGUAAUACGGAGGAUGCGAGCGUUAUCCGGAUUUAUUGGGUUUAAAGGGUGCGUAGGCGGAACGCCAAGUCAGCGGUAAAAUCGCGGGGCUCAACCUCGCUCCGCCGUUGAAACUGGCGUUCUUGAGUGGGCGAGAAGUAUGCGGAAUGCGGGGUGUAGCGGUGAAAUGCAUAGAUAUCACGCAGAACUCCGAUUGCGAAGGCAGCAUACCGGCGCCCAACUGACGCUGAAGCACGAAAGCGUGGGGAUCGAACAGGAUUAGAUACCCGAGUAGUC
rnacentral:rRNA from 1 species